rnacentral:lncRNA from 1 species
CCACACCACCAGUAAGAUGAGCAGCAGCAGUUCUCCUUCCGUUGUUAAAUAUUGUACUUUGUGGAUACCCAUGAAUCUUGAAACACUUAUCAAUUAAGUGUCCAGAUUUUUUGCAGUAUCUACAGAAUAAAGGCCCUCUAGCUUGAUCAAAAUUGACUCUUUGUCUGAAAGGAGGAGAAGGAUUAGGCAUUGUGGCCUUAUUAAAUCCAACUGAAUGGCUAUUAGUGUGGAAAUUGACUCUUUGUCUGAAAGGAGGAGAAGGAUUAGGCACUGUGGCCUUAUUAAAUCCAAAUGAAUGUCUAUUAGUGUGGACAUUGAAAGACAUAGAGUCUGGAUUAAACUGAGAAGGAGACUGGACUUGUCUCUGUUUCUCAUCAUUGAGGACCAUAUUAUAGACACUGUCAAAGGUUGGAAGUGGCUGCAUCAUCAAAAGGUUACUCCUUACCCCUAUGUAUGCUUCAUUAAGGCCCAUUAGAGACUGAAAUACCUUAUUUUCAUCAUUUUCCUGUAUUAUACCAUCUUUGGCAGCACAAACACAUCUUUGACCAUGAUUAACACACAUUGAUUCUAGUUCAUCCCACAGACCUUUAAGCUUAUUAAAAUAUGAAGCUACAUCUAGGGACCCUUGAGAGGCGUGAGAAAGCUCUCUUUUCAAUUCAAAAAUUUUGGUCCUGUUUGCAGUGCCAUAUCAGGCCUGAAGUUGGGACCAUAUACUCUAUGCAGUAUCAGAAUACUACACACUUUCAGCAAUUUGAGGGGAGAGGGAGGCAGUUAACCAGGAAAUUACCAUAUUAUUGCAUCUGUCCCAUAAUCUUUGCUGAGUCACAUUAGUGACUGGCCGGGGACAUGUUCCAUCAACAAAACCAAUUUUGUUCUUAGCAGAUAACGCGACAAUCAUUUUCCUCCUCCAACCCCCAUAACCAAUGCCCG